AAAAGAAGUCGGAAAAAAAAAAAAAAAAAAAAAAAAAAAAAAU
rnacentral:ribozyme from 16 species